rnacentral:rRNA from 3 species
UACCGAGUGAGGGCCCUUUGGGUCCAACCUCCCACCCGUGUUUAUUUACCUCGUUGCUUCGGCGGGCCCGCCUUAACUGGCCGCCGGGGGGCUCACGCCCCCGGGCCCGCGCCCGCCGAAGACACCCCCGAACUCUGCCUGAAGAUUGUCGUCUGAGUGAAAAUAUAAAUUAUUUAAAACUUUCAACAACGGAUCUCUUGGUUCCGGCAUCGAUGAAGAACGCAGCGAAAUGCGAUACGUAAUGUGAAUUGCAAAUUCAGUGAAUCAUCGAGUCUUUGAACGCACAUUGCGCCCCCUGGUAUUCCGGGGGGCAUGCCUGUCCGAGCGUCAUUGCUGCCCUCAAGCCCGGCUUGUGUGUUGGGCCCCGUCCUCCGAUUCCGGGGGACGGGCCCGAAAGGCAGCGGCGGCACCGCGUCCGGUCCUCGAGCGUAUGGGGCUUUGUCACCCGCUCUGUAGGCCCGGCCGGCGCUUGCCGAUCAACCCAAAUUUUUAUCCAGGUUGACCUCGGAUCAGGUAGGGAUACCCGCUGAACUUAA